AUUGAACGCUGGCGGCAUGCCAUACACAUGCAAGUCGAACGGUAACAGGUUAAGCUGACGAGUGGCGAACGGGUGAGUAAUAUAUCGGAACGUGCCCAGUCGUGGGGGAUAACUGCUCGAAAGAGCAGCUAAUACCGCAUACGACCUGAGGGUGAAAGCGGGGGAUCGCAAGACCUCGCGCGAUUGGAGCGGCCGAUAUCAGAUUAGGUAGUUGGUGGGGUAAAGGCCCACCAAGCCAACGAUCUGUAGCUGGUCUGAGAGGACGACCAGCCACACUGGGACUGAGACACGGCCCAGACUCCUACGGGAGGCAGCAGUGGGGAAUUUUGGACAAUGGGCGCAAGCCUGAUCCAGCCAUGCCGCGUGCGGGAAGAAGGCCUUCGGGUUGUAAACCGCUUUUGUCAGGGAAGAAAAGGUUCUGGUUAAUACCUGGGACUCAUGACCGUACCCAAAGAAUAAGCACCGGCUAACUUCGUGCCAGCCGCCGCCGUAA
rnacentral:rRNA from 1 species